CGAGCCAAGAAUGUCGUCGCAUUGAAAGAGGUCAAUCACCAGCGAUUGCGCCUUGGAUGUCACUCGGUGCAAUUGAGCGCAAUUUAUUUCAUUUGCUAACGAUUUUACGAUUUCGGAUUUAAUUAACUCCCGAAAAGCAGGAAGCCUAGUGGACCAGUUGACAGAGCUCGCCAGCCUCCAAAAUGGAACCCUAGUGUUAUACACAAUGAUUAUACAAUGAUUUGUAUUUGUGCAUGACUGAGUCAGCCGGAGCAUUCAUUCGGGCAGAAAAGUAUGGGUUGCAAAUAAAAAGCGCAUAAUAGGCGUUUAAAUGCAAUUUUCUCCGCAAAAUGGUCGGGCGAAAUAUCAAAAAUUCGAAUUAUAUGUUUUGCCCCAUGUUGAUUAGAAUGAAAAAUGCAUGUGUGUGUGUGUGUGUGUGUCGGUCAGCAGAGGCAGAAGCCGAAGCAAAAACCGCACAGAAGUCCUCUCCCUUCUAGCAGAAAUAUUUUGGUAGAAUCUCGCAUCCGUGGAGACGGACAAGUCCAACUCAAAGUCGUUCUGUUUCGGCACGGUGAAAAAUCACUAUCAUAGAAAAUCGAGAGAAAGAAAUGUGAAAAAGAGCAGACAGCGAACAUAGUGACGAAGCGCGUCUCAAUCGAAUCGAAAAGCAGCAGCAGAUUUUUAAAUAAUGAUUUUCAUGAUGUUCAUACUGAUAUAUCUCCAAAAUAUUCAUUUUUAAAUACCAUAAAAGUGACCAUUUUCGCUUGUUAAA